rfam:Dipodomys ordii contig_664, whole genome shotgun sequence.
GGGAAGGUAGCUCAGUGGUAGAGUGCAUGCCUUGCAAGCAUGAGGUCCUGGGUUCGAUUCCUCAGCACCA